rnacentral:lncRNA from 1 species
GCUCGGGGACUUCUCGGAAGCUUUGGAAAUUGCCAGCCCUGCUCGGCGACCUCUCAGUAACUUUGGAAAUUUCCAGCCCUGCUCGGGUACUUCUCAGAAGCUUCGGAAAUUGCCAGCCCUGCUCGGCGACCUCUCGGUAGCUUUGGAAAUUUCCAGCCCUGCUCAGAGCUAUCUUCAAGAAAUUAAAAAAAAUAAUAAUUGGUAUACUCAAAAAACCGGUGUUGUUGGAAUCUUGUAUUUGUGCAGGAGGCUUAUUGAGGGAUUUAUUAUGUUUCAGAUUUUGGAACUUCAAGAUUUUUUUACUA